AAGGAAACCAGAAAUACAGAU
rnacentral:piRNA from 1 species